rnacentral:lncRNA from 1 species
UUUUUUUUUUUUUUUUUUUUAUACACGAUUACAAAAUGUACGCAUCCAGCAAAUUGUUCUAAAUGGUCUUAUAAAGUAUAAAACCUGUUUUCUUUUUUCCCUUUUUUUUAAGUUUAAAAACCCAACAAAUGUAAGAAUUCAAGCAAUGACGUGGCAAUGCUCCAUUGGUCAACGUUACAAAGUACCACGUAGCUCAGACCGACAUUCGAUUGAAAGGAAGAAAAAUAGAGAAAAAAAGGGAAAAAAAAGUCGUAAAAAUAAAAAGCAGAAAUCGAAUAGUUAUAAUAAUAAAAAACCCAAAGAGGAAGAAGAGUUGAGAGAAAGAGAGAGAGAGCUGGCUCCCAUGGCUGACGAAGAGCAGCAUCAGCAGCAGCAACAGCUUCACUCUUCCCCUUCUUCUUCCUCUUCUGCUGCCGAAGAAACUCUCAACAAGCAAACCCAGGUAGAGAAUGUUCCCUUCUUUUAAAAAAAAAUUGAAGAAAUCGCAAUGGAAAAGAUUCAAUUUUGGGGUUUCUCAUAUGUGGAUAUAUGUGUGCUCAGAAAUGCCAUAAACUUAGCAUUUUUGGUUUUUUUUUUAUCUUCUUUGUUUUUUUGCUUUUCAGAUUUUAUGGUUUUUUCAAUUUUUUUUACAUGGGUUCUUCGUGUAUUUGUUUAAUUUUGUUUCUAUGAUCUGGGCUCUGUUAGCUUCUGGCAUAUGAUCGUCCGUGUGUGUCAGAGAGAGAAACAUAGAGAGAGAGAAAAAGGCGAUGAAAACCCUUAAAGAAUUGAGUUUCUUCAAUGGAAGGAAAUGGGGUUUAGGUUUAUUUAGAAAGUUCCUUUUCAUUUUUGUUUCUCGCUAAAUGUUACUUUGUAUUAGUGUUUCGGGGGGAAGAUUUUGAGAGAGGAGAGCCAUGCCUUGAGGUGGGGAUUUAGUAUUACUUUGUUUUUGUAAGAAAUCUUACUGUUGAGCACUGGUGGAAUGAUUGCUUUGUCCAAAAUUUUCAGCGUGUGUUCCAUGUGUAAUCUGAGAAUGCUGGAGAUAGGUAGCUUUUUCCUACUAGUUUGAAUGGAGAAAACUCGUGUUUGAGUAAAUUAAGAUUGCCGUCUUGAUCUUAGAUGUCAUCAGUGAUGGAAAUGCUUGGUUGGUAUACAAGGAAAGGAAAUUUUUUUUUUUUUGCUUGCCUUUUAAAUUUUUGUCGUUUCGUCUUUGGUGAUGUUGGAGGUCUGGACUAGGUGAUGGUUGCCAGGUGGCAUCUGGGUGUAGAUGAUCAACUACGUUUCCAAUAAAAGCAAUACACUUUAUCUAUCUCCACAGAAUCACCAAAGUCCAGUCUAGUGUGCAUGAUGAUGUUGUUGGGUUCAGAAACUGGAUUCACAGAGAAUUACUAUAUCCCAUUUUCUUGUAACGCAUUUAAAUUGCAUUUAAAUCUGAGAAUGCUGGAGAUAGGUAGCUUUUGCCUACUAGUUUGAAUGGAGAAAACUCGUGUUUGAGUAAAUUAAGAUUACCGUCUUGAUCUUAGAUGUCAUCAGUGAUGGAAAUGCUUGGUUGGUAUACAAGGAAAGGAAAUUUUUUUUUUUGCUUGCCUUUUAAAUUUUUGUUGUUUCAUCUUUGGUGAUGUUGGAGGUCUGGACUAGGUGAUGGUUGCCAGGUGGCAUCUGGGUGUAGAUGAUCAACUACAUUUCCAAUAAAAGCAAUACACUUUAUCUAUCUCCAUCACCCGAAUUAUGCUUGAAUUUAUUGAGCUCCAACUUGCUUGAAAUGUAAGCAUAAUAUCUCCACAGAAUCACCAAAGUCCAGUCUAGUGUGCAUGAUGAUGUUGUUAGGUUAAGAAACUGGGAUUCACAGAGAAUUACUAUAUCCCAUUUUCUUGUAACGCAUUUAAAUUGCGUUAGUUCUGUAAUAGUAAAGCCAUCAUUGAAGAUUUUGUUGUCCUUUUGGUAGUAUUAAGUGAAAAACUUGUCACAUGGUAUGUGGAUGCAUUCAGAGUGUACUUUGUUCCACCAACAUUGCUCUUAUAGGAUGUAAGUUACAGCAAAGAAAUAGUUGUUAUAUAUAAGGGAAUAGGAUACUUUUUCCACCUAGAUCUGGAGGUAGAAACUAGUUGUUAUCUCACUGAUUUGUGAUAUUAUGGAACUAAUGCGCCAUUAAAAGAUUGUCUGGUGGUUCUAUGCUGUUAUGAGGAUUCACGCUAAACAAAAGUUAAUCAGGUUUUGCCAUUUGCUUUUGCUAUAAACUAGAUACGUUUUAAAUGUGGAACCUUACUGCUAGAAUGUUGCUUAAUGGUUUCAAUUUUAGAUUGUUUACAUGGAGAGCUGAGGGAUAAUUACAGUUUGCAUUUUCAGUUAGAUCGUACUUUUCAUUCAAUUUAUCACUUUUAGUAAGGUCACGAUUGGUUAGGUGGUCGGUUAUUACCAUUAUAAGAAAGCACAAAAUUAGCUUAAUAUUGGGGCCACUUGAUACCACCUAUGUUUUUGGUGUUUUGCAUCUGAUAUUAAUAGAAUACAUGCUCUGCUAUGUUUACUUCUGUAGGAUGAAUAUAAAUAGGUUUGAUACAUGUAUCCUUGUUACAACGCAGGAAAAUAGGAUUGAUUCUAUGAAAGAGCCUUUUUUCGUGCCUUUUUUCUUUUUAGUAAAUCUCUUUCUUAUGUUUGAAAGACUAUUUUCUGUGGCAACAAUCUGUGGUACCUGGCAGUGACUGUCUAGCUUAUGGCCUGUGGGACACUUUCUCAGCCUAGAUAUCAUUGAUGGCCCAAGAUUUGAUAUUGAGACUUGAAUCCACCCAAAAUGCACCACAAAUGGCCCAGUCUGGUGGCGUUGCCAACCAUUAAGCUUGUCCAAGUUUUAUACUCCUUUCACCUAGACAAUCUGUCAUCACUGUCUUCAAUCAGCGUAUUUUGUCCUAAAUUGAUGAGUUAUGUAUCAUGUGUGAAACUGAAUAUCCAAUUUGGCUGUAACAAAUGCAACUAUUGCACCCAUUAAAUUGUUCCUCAUAUUUAUAGGAGUCUAUUUGCGUGCAAUAAUGGUCCAACCCUUUUGGGGUUGGUGAGGGCAUUUUCUUUUUGGCAUGAGUGGUGUGUGUGUGUGUGUGUUUGGAACUUUUUCAAAGAAGAGGUUCUAGUGUCGGGGGGGGGGGGGGCUCCAAGAAGGGGAGGAUCAGAGAGAUGAUUCAGAAAUGGGGUAAGAGGGUGUUGACUCACAGAAAAGGGUGUUUGGAGGAUGACAGGGGGGAACCAGGGAUGAGCCAUGAAAAGUGGGUUGGUUUGCUUUUUCAGGGUGAGGCAGGAAGCUGGAAGGGUACAAUGAACAGGGACAAGAGAAGAGAGGAGUAUGAACUUUUAUACUGGUAAACGAAGAGGGUACAUCAUUUAUGUGUAAUGAUCAUGCAUGUUUUGUCCAGUAACUUUCUUUGGUUAAACAAGUAAAAGCAUUAUUUUUACAAAUAUUUUUGGUUAGGACAGAGUAUUAACUCUUUUAGUUGCCAAUAUUAAUCUUUUUUGUUAGUGCGUGAUCACGAAUGGAAAAAACCAAUACACAAAUCAUGCCAGCUGUCACCUUAGUCUUUGAGUCCCCAAAUGCUCUUAUGAUAUGGGCUGAAUAGCAACAUUUUUCCAGUGCUUGGUUAUAUCAACUGCCGCUGAGCUUAUUUUUUUGAACAAUUAUUGUUCUAGUCCACGUUCCGUGAACUGGUUAUAUCAAAAUCUUUUCCUUCUUGUAUUUGUAAACUGAGUACACAAGUUGUUCAAAACCCACUAGUUAGCAACUAAACAAGGAAUUGAUUUCUUGGCUGGUAAGAUCAUGCAGUAUUUAAGUUGGAGUUAAGGAUAUACAUUUGGAAUUCUACUUCUUUUGAUUCAAGGCUAGAAUCAACCUAUUUGGAAGGGUUAUCCUGGUAUUUCUAGCAAGAUGUGAGGAAAAGAACCUUUUGUUAUUUUCUUUUCAGAUUUGAUUUUUCAAAAUAUGAGAUGAGGAAGUGUUUUCAUUAAAGCUGAAGUUUAAUGUGACUUUUUGCCAACAAUUUAACACCAUAGCCCACCACAAAUCUUUUGGAGGUAGCUUAUUUUUUUGCCAAAUUUGUGGAAGGUGUGCUACAUUAGGUUCUGCCUAUGUUGUGAAGUACAAAUAAAUGAAAAUAAAAGCUUUCAGGGAUUUUAUUUCCCAGUGUGGUUAACGCUGUGAAUAAAUUAUGAUUUUUUUCCCUCAUCAUUCUGAUUUCCUCCAACUAACUUUGCCAUUCCUUUCUCAUUCAGAACUGGAAAGGUUUCAUAUUUUUUCUUUUCUUUGUUUAGAACAUGAAGAAUGAUGUAGUUAACUUUAUUUUCAUUGACAAGCAAAGCUAAGAAACUUUAUUUUGUUGCUGUGGAGACUCAAUACUUUGUGCUCAUAUGGUUAUAUGCAUUCCUUAAUUGGGUCCUAAUCUCUUUGUUUCAAUUGUCUAGGCACAGUUUAGCAGCUUACCUUCGCUAAAUGGAGAUUUUCAGACGCUCCCGAUCAUGUAUCCUUCAUAUUUUCCUGGAUUUUACCCUCCACAACAGAACCAGGAACAGAUGAAUCAUGGACGUGGCCUUUAUGCUGUUCCAGCUUUUCCAUUCAUGGGGCCUACUGCUGCAUUUGCACCAAAUACUCUAAUCCCUUUCACCUAUAAUAUACCUUCGUGAGUGUUCUAGCUAUGCAUGACUUGAUGGUAUAAUAAUUCAGUAGUAUUUUGCUUAGGUCAAGUAAUCUUUCUGAUUCUUUGUGCUGCAUGCAACUUUACAAUGGUUUUGCAAGUCCAACGCUUUCUUGUCUGUUUGAUUUUUUCCUGCAUAUAAGAUUUUUUUCCUAAUCUUUUUAUUUUCCUCUUUUGCCUUUUUUUUCCAGCAGAGAGACAUUACAAAAUGGAAUCCUCACCUAAAUAUCAAGCUAUUACACACCAAAAAGAAAAAAAAAGGCAAACAACAAUAUUUUUACAGUUUAACAGGACAAAAUGCAUUGAGGUUGUUUACUGGGAUUGCUGCAUAUUAAAGGAAUGGAAUUAUAAUUUCUGAAGCAAAAAAUGGUAAGGAGAAAAAUGGUGCCUCUUAAAUAAAACAUAAAGAAAUGGUCCCUCUGGUGUUUACUUUUAUCUGCACAUCAAAAUGAUGUUAAUCUUUGGUUAAACACUUAAGUUUACUCAUUGCAAGAAACUGGUUAAAUCAAAUUGAACUUUAUUUGGCAAUGCCUGAGAUAUGUGUUCAUCAUAGUUUAAAUGGAUAUACUGAUCUGCUAUGUGGUGUAGAACAUGAUGAAAGGCCAGAUGGGUGACUUCAUCUCUAUUAGAAUCUUUAUCACUAAAAGUGAUGGACAUCUUUUUAUAUUUACUGAUUCUUGGGCCAGGAGAGGAAUCUUUCGAUGGUAUUACAGAUUUACAAUUUUUAAAACCUAAUACCAUUUUAUUUCCUCCAUAGUUUGAACUACUAGGGUGUAGCUUUUGUUGUUUGAUAUCUUACACUUAAGCAACUUUUUAAAGCCGUUGUUGGUCUUCAUAAGCAUCCAGGUAUUGCGUGAAUCUAUCAUUCUUAGCAUAUUUAGCUCUGCAACAUGUAUUCCCUGAUAUAAAGCACUUGACUACUUUGGCUUAGAAAUUGGAAAAGGUAAAAGAAAGGACAAUGGAAAUGCAAAUGCUUAUGUCAUGUUGGAAAUGGGCCUUUUCCAGCGGCAUAUAAAACUCAAUCACCAUGUUAGUUCUCCUCUCUGUUGGAAUAUAUAGGAUGAUUAUGUGGGUAUACUUCUAAGCUAACAAGGUCAAAAACUUUUUCUGUAAUGUCCCAACUGGGACCCACCUCCAAACACUGUGUGUGAAUGUGCUGGAGGAGAGGUAAAGGACUAAGCAGAAGCACCUUGAGUUAGAAGAACAUAUCUGGUGUUUUCAAGAAGUGACUAAUGAGGUCAGGAUUUGGAUUAGUGAAUUUCAAGCAGGUUGCCAGGCCAUGACUAGGUUAGCCAAUCAAGACCUAGAGGGCAUGGAAUUCUUAGACACUGGUUACGAGGAUCCUUCUAAGACUAAAUCUGGUGCCAAUUCAGUAGCUGGACCUGCUAGGUCCCCUGGACAAGAUGUUUGAGGAUAUUAUGUUAAUUUAAGGAGAGUUAUUUUUUCAGUAGGUUUGAUUCCUCUUUUUUCUUGCGAGAGUAGGCAGGCUUAGGAUGGUAAGUUUGGAAUUGGGCCUAGCUGGGGCGUCACAUAUUUCUUAUGCUUUUUUACUAGCUUAUUUAGAUGUACAUGUUUAGUGGAUCUACUGAAAGCUUUUCCUGCAUGUGAGACUUUGAUGGAAGCUCGUAAGCAUUUGCCAAGUAUACUUGUCUGAAUUGUUAGUAAUGUGUCUUAAAAGUUUGAAUUUCCUUUCCAUGUUACAACAUGACCCUGCAUGUCAACCAUUUCUCUUCCACACUCAUCACUUUUUUAAGUGUGUUCAGCAAAAUUAACCAAAGUCCCAGAAGAUCAUUGGGCAUACGUGGCAAUUAUAGGCCCUUCUUAUGCAUUGUGCAGAAGUUGUCCCUCGUUACAAAUUGUGCACUUAGCAUGCAAUAUAGCAGGGAAAUUAUUGUUCCAUGCAUAAAAUCGAUCUUUAGUGUUGUUUCUGGGAGUAUCACUCACUAAAUCCUGAGCAAGUUGCAAGGUUUCCAUAUUUUGCUUUAUUAUAUAUAGUCCAUAGGUUGUUCUUAUUGAGUUAAUAGGUAAUAACACAAGUAGGGCUGUAAACAAAUCGGAUCGAUCCAAAACUUUUGACCUGUGAGGCUGGGUUUCAAGCUUGUAUCUUGUACAAGCUUAGAAUUUAAGCUCAAGUUCAAUUUGACUUUCUUAACCUAAAGGGGAACCUUGUGUAGAUACCAUAUCCUUAUCAUCGAUCUUGUAUUCUAUAGGGUCUAUCUCGACUGGAAACCCCGAAAUUUGUUUCUAUUUUUUAAAUUUUAGUAGUAUUUUAUGAAUAUUACAUAUAUCGAUUUUAUGGAAUAUAAUAGUGAAAAUGUAAUUCUAUGUAAAAUAUAGCUGUAUGUUUCUUAAAAAAUAUAAAAAAAAUACCUGAGCCUUAACGAGGCAAAUACUUGGUAUUCGAACUCAGUUCGAUAACUUAAUCGAAUUCUAAUCAUUGUUCAAAUUUGAGCUCGACCUCACUAAAAAUUUUACUGGAACUGAGCUUUUGAGUUUUGACAAAUUGAGCCGAACUAUUCCUUAAGGCUUGAUUUGUUUACAGCCCUAGGUGCAAGAGGAUAAAAGUAUGUUUUCUGACAUUAAUUUCAGUUAAGAUUCAGUACAAUCCUUGUUAAAGUAAAUGAUGCCCUUUUAUUUUUCAUUCAGUAGCUAACAAAUUAUGUUAUUAGUUGGUUAUUGUUGGUAUGUGCGCAUAAGAAAUGAUUGUUGGAUAAUUUUAUGAACAAGCGUUAGAGUUUGUUGAAUCAAAUAAGGUCUGUUGAAAGUAUGCUUGCAGACUCGGCCCUUCUCCACCUCCAAAACCCUAACAAAUUAUAUAUCAAAUAUUGUUGAUAAAGAACUACAUGGAACCUUUUGAGGGAAAUGAAACUUUGUCCUAAUCUUUUAUAGUUAUAGAUGUUCCUUUCAUAGUAAUCUCUUCUUCAUAUUAUGGCUCCAUUUAUUUGGUUACUAUCUGUCAGGAUAUUAGGACUAUUGGAGUUUGGGCCCUUUGGGGUUUUAGACAUGCAGAAUGUGAAGCACUCCUUUCGCAGCUGAGAUUUUGGAUUCACAAGAAAGUAAACCGUCAUUUUAGAAUUUACCAUAUCCUUUAAAAAGAUUUGAAGUGGUAGUUUGGUAAAAACUAGUUAACUUACUUCAAGGUUUUUACCUUGCUUGUUUAGCUUGCAGAGGCAAUCAGCAAGGCAUUUUAAUAAAUGCAGAAAUCAAACAUGUUGGGCAACAUGUCUUGGCCUCCGAAUAGUGUCAUGAUAUUUUCUAUGUGAAUGCAAUAAUAAUAAUGUGUAGGAAGUUAAGUUAACAACAAUCCAUUGACAUGCAUAUUAUGCACUAUUUUAUGAAAAUCGUAAUUGUUUCCAACUGCAACUGCAAAUCUAGAAUUCUAAGUACAGGAGGUCUUGGUGAUUUUAUUUAACUGAUUUGGCAACUCUGUACCAUUCACAGUGGGCCAAGUCCACCAGAAACUGGAGCAGUGGGUGAGAAUCAAGGACAACAGCAACAUGAGCAGCAACAGCCGCAGCAAAUGCAGCCUGGACAUCGACAAGUUGUUGUAAGGAGAUUUCAAAUUGCUUUCCAGCUUGACUUGCUGCUUAUUCUAAAGCUGGUGGCAGUUAUCUUUUUGUUUAACCAAGAUGGAUCUAGACAAAGGCUGGUGCUGCUUGUGUUUUUUGCUUCAUUAGUUUAUCUGUAAGUAGCAGAGUUUCUCAGGAUUUUCGCUUUUGUUGUUUGUCCACCGCCAAAAACCACUGGGCAACUGAAUUCUUUGUUUCCAAUGAAAAAAAUCAAAAAGUUCAUGACUCAAUCAAAAGUUUGUUACAUGGUUUAUACUGUUCAGGUAUUGUCUUUCUUGCUCUCCAGCUAAUAAGAGCUGCAAUUAUUCUACUGGCUGAUGCAGGUAUCAAACUGGAGCUCUGGCACCAUUAGUUCGGUGGCUUUCACAGGGGAUGCACCGGGCAGCUGCACCUCCCCAACCACCAAGGCCUGCUGUGCGGGCAGAUAAUGCUCAUGCUCCUGAGGGAGCUGGAAAUGAGAAUGAUGCUGCUGCUGCCGGUACUUUGACUAACUAUAUCUCUAUUGAAAAUCUGUAAGCAUGUAAUGCAGAAAAAAAGGCAAGAACUUGUAUUUAAAAAAUUAAUUUUUCCCAAUCCUGUGAUGAGCUCUCAACAAGAAUAUAUUUUGGCUAUUUAUUUAAUCUGAUUGAGUUACUUCCAGAUUCUCUCUUGUAUAGCCUUCUUAUUGGAAGCCUCAUAUGUUUCACUUUCUAAUCUCUCUCUCUCUCUCUCUGCACACACACACGCACGGAGAAACUCACAUCUGCUUAUUUGGUGAUUUAUCUAACAAUCUUGGGUUCCCUGUGAAGGAAUCUGUCUUGAACAACUUUCAUUUACUUGUUUUUUUGGUGAGCCAUAUCAGAGGUUGUUUGUGGGCUCGGCUAGGUUCCCAUUAUUCGUGAAUCAAUUAGUCUGAAAGUCAAUUUUUUUUGGGUAUAAAGAAUCCAUGAAGAGUGCAAAUAGACGAUAUCAAAUGGAAAGAGAAUGGUCCUGUUACAGUUGCUCCCUGCUGUAGUUUCUUGAUGUUGAUGUGAUUCUCAUCUUUGUUUGCUUAGCUGCACCAUCUGCAUUUUUGCAAUUUCUGCUUAACAACCUUACAGCUCAUCUAGCACUAUGAUAAAAGAUUGUUAUCAUCAGAAUCUAAUGGACAAAACUCAUAAAUGACCUGCAUUUUGAUAUGUCAGUGGUUACAUGAAGUUCCAUUCUCGAUCCCUUACUUAUUUCAGACUACGGUUGUCACCAAAAGAGUAAUCAUUUCCUAACACAUGACCAUCUUCAAUCUUGGCAGAUGGACAACCUGUAGGCGAAAAUGAGCAUCAGCCUCUUAACGAGAAUGGGGCAGUAGAGAAUGAACCUGGCGUGGAACCUGGCAGAGCUGAAGGUGGCAACCGCUUGUGGGUAAUUGUGAAGGAGAUCCAACUGAUUGUCUUUGGCUUCAUCACAUCACUACUUCCUGGCUUUCAUAACAUAGAUUAAACUGUAAAUGGAUUUAGAUCCAUUAUAGUUACUCUGACAAAGGUGGGAGAGUUAAACAGGCUGUCCUUUUCUUCACCACCUCCCCCCACCCACCCCACAAACAAAAAACAAACCAAUGUGAAUGCCAUAACUUUCUGGAGACUGUUGGAGGCUGUAUGUAUGUUGAAAUGGAUUUUCCCAGAACCAGUCCGCUGAAAUGAUGUAAGGGCCUUAAUAUAAAUAACAUAUUCCCUAUGGUAUUUUAGGCUUUACCCGGAAAAUUCUACCAUAGCAGGUCCUCAUUGAGGAAGUCCCUUAGAUUGGUGAUGCACGGUGGGGGGCGUAAACCUUUGAGUUCCUAGGGGGCACAGGUAUUUAUGGAGGAUGAGAAUUUGUAUUAAAACACAUAUAUUCCUAAAGAUUUUACUCCCAGCUAUUAAAAUAUAGAUUGUAUUUAGCUUUCAGAGUAUAACUCGCAACCGAUUCGAGUUGAUGCUUUUGGCAAAAUCAUUGUUAGACAUAUUAAAAGGAAUUCGUGUUGAACCAAUGAGUAAUUUCAUUCAGAAAAGGAUCUGUUAAUAACUAUGACAAAUUUUUUAAUUAAAUAAAGCAUAAGAAGAAGAUAGUUGGACAUGGCAAAUCAAAUAUGAAUUCACGUUGAUGUGGUUAAAUUAAAUCUACAGAAUUUUUUUUUCUUUGGGUUUGGGUUUGAGUGUCGGGUUGAAGUGCGAAUGAUUUUGAUAGUCAUAUAAUAAAUCAUAUAAAUUACAAAUACAACAUAGUUAAAUAAAUAGAAGGAAAAUUUGUCAAAUUGAUCCUUACAUUUUUAGAAAUUUUUUUUUUAGUUCCUCAUAUUUAAAAUUAGUCACAAUAGUCCUUCAAAUAUAAAAAAGUCUACCCGAUUGAUUCCAAAACUUGAUUUCACUCACUUCUCUAACUAAAAAGCACACGUCUCUCUCAUGUGUCCAUAAUUUUAAGGGCAAAAAAUGAAAACACAUUUCGUUUCCUCUUAAGAAACACAUCAGUCACCAAAUCCUUAAAUAUAAACCUAGAUUAAACAAGAGAGAUUUUAACUUCUUCAUUCUUUAAUAUCACGCCAACAACAACACCGGUUUCCAAGAAUCUCCCUUCUAGAAUUUGCAGGUUUCCAAGAAGUCAAAAUCAUGAGCACUUUGCCACAAUGACAUCGAUUAUUGUUUGUUUCAUUGUACUCUUCAAGGGGUGAGUUUUUGAGGUGUCUUUUCUUUCAUUUCUUCUAUUACUUGUAGGUAAUCAUAUUGAAAUUUUUUUUGACUGGGGAUUUGGUAGCUUACAAUUAGGGUUUUGGUAGCUAAAAAAAUAGGGAAAAGGGGGGAAGAAAGGGUUUGGUCGCUUAUAUUUUCGUCUUCUUUUUUUUUAAAAAAAAGAGAGAGAAAAUUAAGUGUAUUUUCAUUUUUGUUCUUGAAAUUAUGAGCACAUGAGAGAGGUCAGAGGUGUGCACUUUUUGGCUGGAGAACUGAGCGAGAACGAACUUUGGGACCAAUAGGGUAGAUCUUUUUAUAUCUGAAGGACUAUUGUGGCUAAUUUUAAAUGUGAGGGACAAAAAAAAAUUUUCUGAAAAUGUGAGGGACCAAUUUAGCAAAUUUCCCUAAAUAGAAAUGGCAAGGAGACGGGUUUCGACCGGGAGACUCUUCUCUUGCAGCUCACCUCGUCGUUAGAAAACUCUCAUGUCCCUGCCCCACUCCCCCAACCCCUGUCCUUCCACCCUCCACCCUCCACCCUUCCCCCCCCCCCCUUCCCCCUCCUAUAGUGCCUAGCAACUUUAUUUCCUUUUGGGACAAUUUCAGAAACCUCCAUUGAGUUUCUGACAAUUUCACUAGCCUCACCUAAAGUUUGUAAAAUUACACAAAUCUCCACUGAGGUUAAGGUUUUAAUAACAAAAUUAGUUCAAUUAGAAAAAGUAAUAUUAAAAAUGUAUUUCAAGAAGAGAGACGAAAUUUUGAUUCCAUAAAUACCCCUUAUGUGUAUACAUAAGUUGUAUUAGUAAAAAUAAAUAAAAAUAAUUAAAAGUUAGAAAUAAUUAAUACACACAAUUUACUAUUCAAAAAGUUCAUAUUUAAUAAAUUAAACAACACAAAUAAACAAUAAAACUAUACUAAUGAUCACAAGAUUCAGCAAAACAGACUAGUCAUUUCUUUUAGCAUGAUGUUUGCUAUGAUUCUUGUGAUUUUGAAUAGAAAAAUUUUCAAAAUUUACCUUUCUUUUCAUUAAGUAAAAAUAAUGUUUAAUAAAAAAGAUAAAAUCAAACUCUAAAAAAUACUCAGUCACCAGUUCAUUUAGCUCCUGAGGUUGGACCACUUGCCUUACAGCUUCCUCAGCAUGCACAACAUCCUCUUCUCCAACUUCUUCCGUAUGCCUUUCCUUAUUCUCCUCAUGUUCCUAACCAUAGAGAAUUGAAUAAUUUUUAAAAUUAUUCUAUAAGUUAAAAUGGUUUGCAUAAAAAGGAUAAAAUAAAUUUUUAAAAAUAUUUAGUCACCGGUUUGUCCAGUACCUAACCUUAGGGCAUGUCCAACGCAGCUUCAAGUUCCUCUUCUCCAGCUUCUUCCAGACCAUUUUCCUAAGCACAGAGAAUUGAAUAAAUUUUUUAACUAUUCUAUAAACUAAAAAGGUAUUGCAUGAAAAAGGAUAAAAUAAAUAUCUAAAAAAAUUUAGUCACCAAUUCGUCCAAUGCCUGAGCCUGACCGAAGACCAACUCAGCAUCCUCAUGAUGCACUACUUCCUCUUCAACGGUUUCUCCAAAGUUCUCUUGCUCUGGUUCCUAGGUGAUAGAAUUUUAAAAGAUUUUGAAAUUAAAAUAAUUUGAAUUAAUUGAAAUAAAAUCUCUAAACAAAAAUCAUCAACACUUUCCUGUACCUAGUUUUCCCUUGCAUCACCUCAGCUUAUAUAUUUAAUGAAAAUGGAGGGCAUGAAAGGCAAAAUUUGAAAAUUUUUCUAUUCAAAAUCACAAAAAUCAUAACAAAUAUCACGUCCAAAGAGAUAACUGGUCUAUUUUGUUGAAUCUUGUAAUCAUUAAUUAGUUUUGUUGCUUAUUUGUGUUGUUCAAUUUAUUAAAUAUGAAUUUUUUGAGUGAUAAAAUGUGUGUUUUAAUUAUUUUUAAUUUUUAAUUAUUAUUAUUCUUUUACUAAUACAACUUACAUACAUGUAUAAGGGGUAUUAGUGGAAUAAAUGUUUCGUCUCUCUCCUUAAAGUAUUAUUUAAGGAUAAUUUCAAAAACCUCCCUUGAUGUUUCUUACAAUUUCACUAGCCUCCCCUAAAAUUUGAAAAAUUACACAAACCUGCCCUGAGAUCAAGAUUUUGAUAACAAAAUUAGUCCAAUUAGAAAAAAUAACAUUAAAAAGUACUUUAAGAAGAGAGACGAAACUUUCAUUCGAUAAAUACUCCUUAUGCGUGUACAUAAGUUGUAUUAGAAGAAAAAUCAAAAUAAUUACAAGUUAGAAAUAAUUAAUAUACACAAUUUACUAUUCAAAAAGUUCAUAUUUAAUAAAUUAGACACCAUAAAUAAGCAAUAAAGCUACAAUAAUGAUCACAAGAUUCAGCAAAGCAGACUAGUCAUUUCUUUUAGCAUAAUGUUUGCUAUGAUUUUUGUGAUUUUGAAUGGAAAAAUUUUCAAAUUUUACCUUUCUUUUCAUUAAGUAAAAAUAAUGUUUAAUAAAAAAGAUAAAAUAAAACUCUAAACAAUACUCAAUCACCAGUUCAUCUAGCUCCUGAGGUUGGACAACUUGCCUUUCAGCUUUCUCAGCAUGCAUAACUUCCUCUUCUCCAACUUUUUCCACAUGCUCUUCCUUAUUCUCCUCAUGUUCCUAACUAUAGAGAAUUGAAUAAUUUUUUAAAUUAUUUCAUAAGUUAAAAAUGGCUUGCAUAAAAAGGAUAAAAUAAAAUUUUUAAAAUAUUUAGUCACCGAUUCAUCCAAUACCAGACCUUGAGGUACAUCCAGCACAGUGUCAAGUUCCUUUUCUCCAGCUUCUUCCACAUCAUUUUUCUAAGCAUAGAGAAUUGAAUAAAUUUUUUUAUUAUUCUAUAAAUUAAAAAGGUAUUCCAUGAAAAAGGAUAAAAUAAAUCUCUAAAAAAAUUUAGUUACUGAUUCAUCCAAUACCUAAGCUUGACCUAAGACCAGCUCAGCAUUGUCAUGAUGCACUACUUCCUCUUCACCGACUUCUUCAACGUUCUCUUCCUCUAGUUCCUAGGUCACGGAAUUUUAAAAAACUCUUGAAAUGAAAAUAAUUUGAAUUAAUUGAAAUAAAAUCUUUAAGUGAGAAUCAUCAACUCUUUCCUUUACCUGGUUUUGAACUAGUAGCCCUGCCACAGCAUCUUCAAUAUGCAAUUCUAGAUCCCCUGCACCACCUCAACUUAUGUAUUUAAGGAAAAUGGAGGGAAAAGAAAAGCAAAAUUUGAAAAUUUUUUCUGUUCAAAAUCACAAAAAUCAUAACAAACACAAUGUCAAAAGAGAUGACUAGCCUGUUUUGUUGAAUCUUGUGAUCAUUAAUAUAGUUUUGUUGCUUAUUUGUGUUAUCUAAUUUAUUAAAUAUGAACUUUUUAAAUGAUAAAAUGUGUGUACUAAUUAUUUUUAAUUUUUAAUUAUUUUUAUUCUUUUACUAAUACAACUUAUAUACAUGUAUAAGGAGUAUUUAUGGAUUAAAAGUUUCGUCUCUCUCCUUAAAGUUCUUUUUCGGGAUAAUUCCAAAAACCUCCCUUGAGAUUUCUGACAAUUUCACUAGCCUCCCCUAAAAUUUGUAAAAUUACACAAACCUCCCCUGAGAAUAAGGUUUUUAUAGCAAAAUUAGUCUAAUUAGAAAACGUAACAUUAAAAAAGUACUUUAAGGAGAGAGACGAAACUUUCAUUUCGUAAAUAUCCCUUAUGCAUGUACAUAAGUUGUAUUUGUAAAAAAAUAAAAAUAAUUAAAUGUUAGAAAUAAUUAAUACACACAAUUUACUAUUCAAAAAGCUCAUAUUUAAUAAAUUAGAUAAUAUAAAUAAGUAAUAAAACUGCACUAAUGAUCACAAAAUUCAACAAAAUAGACUAGUCAUUUCUUUUAGUAUGAUGUUUACUAUGAUUCUUGUGAUUUUGAAUAGAAAAAUUUUCAAAUUUUACCUUUCUUUUCAUUAAGUAAAAGUCAUGUUUAAUAAAAAAAAUGAUAAAAUAAAACUCUAAAAAAUACUCAGUCACGAGUUCAUCUAGAUCCUGAGGUUGGACCACCUGCCCUACGGCUUCCUCAGCAUGCAUAAUUUCCCCUCUCUAGCUUCUUCCAUAUGCUCUUCCUCGUUCUCCUCAUGCUCCUAACCACAGAGAAUUGAAUAAUUUUUUAAAUUAUUCUAUAAGUUAAAAUGGUUUGCAUAAAAAGGAUAAAUAAAAAUUUUAAAAUAUUUAGUCACCAGUUCGUCCAGUGCCUAACCUUGAGGUAUAUCCAACGCAACGUCAAGUUUCUCUUCUCUAGCUUCUACCACACCAUUUUCCUAAGCACAGAUAAUUGAAUAAAUUUUUUUAUUAUUCUAUAAAUUGAAAGGGUAUUGCAUGAAAAAAGAUAAAAAUAAAUUUAUAAAAAAAUUUAGUCACCGAUUCGUCCAAUACCUGAGCAUGACCUAAGACCAACUCAGCGUCCUCAUGAUGCACUACUUCCUCUUCCUCUUGUUCCUAGGUCAUGGAAUUUUAAAAAAAAUUUUGAGAUGAAAAUAAUUUGAAUUAAUUGAAAUAAAAUCUCUAAAAAAAAUCAUCAACUCUUUCUUGUACUUGGUUUUUAACUACCAGUCCUGCUGCAAUGUCUUCAAUAUGCUAUUCUGGAUCCCCUGCACCACCUCAACUUAUGUAUUUAAGGAAAAUGGAGGGAAAAGAAAGGCAAAAUUUGAAAAUUUUUUCUGUUAAAAAACACAAAAAUCAUAACAAACAUCAUGCCAAAAGAAAUGACUAACCUAUUUUGUUAAAUCUUGUGAUCAUUAGAGUAGUUUUGUUACUUAUUUGUGUUAUCUAAUUUAUUAAAUAUGAACUUUUUGAGUGAUAAAAUGCGUGUACUAUUUUUUUAAAUUUUUAAUUAUUUUUAUUCUUUUACUAAUACAACUUAUAUACAUGUAUAAGAGGUAUUUAUGAAAUAAAGGUUUCGUCUUUCUCCUUAAAGUACUUUUUAAUGUUGUUUUUUCUAAUUGAACUAAUUUUGUUAUCAAAACCUUAAUUUCAAGUGAGGUUUGUGUAAUUUUGUAAACUUCAGAGGAAGUUAAUGAAAUUGUUAGAAACCUCAAGGGAGGUUUCUGAAAUUAUCCCUACUUUUUUAUGUUGUUUUUUCUAAUUGGACUAAUUUUGUUAUCAAAACCUUAACCUCAUGGGAGGUUUGUGUAAUUUUGUAAACUUCAAGAGAAACUAGAGAAAUUGUUAGAAACCUCAAGGGAGGUUUCUGAAAUUAUCCCCUUUCUUUUGCCCUUUGUGUCCCAUAGCUCAAUUUAUUAUUAUUAUUAUUAUUACUUCUAAUAAUAUCAACAAGAAAAGAGGCAUAGUGGAGGAAAAAUAUUAGCAAAAUCAGGUUUCUUGAGUUGUCCAACAUUAGGAUUAAGAAUACUCCCAAAAUUAGAAGCAUAAAAUGAUGUGCAAAAUGUUAAUUACAAUUAUAGAACUAAUUAAAAUUUUUAUUCUAAUUAAGCCUCAACACACACCACCCAACCCACCCACCCCCACCCCCGGAACUUGGCUCACAUGCCCCUCACUCCAUGUUUCUUCCCGUGGGACAGGCACCCACCUCCACUGCUUACCUUUUUUUUUUUUUUUUUGUCGACACAGGGGUGUCCGGGUCAAUUCUUACGGGGCCCGACUAAUCCCCUACGGCUCGGACCCGGCGCUUCAACCCGGCCCGAACACCUCCACUGCUUACCUUACAAAUAAAGAAAAAGUUACACCUCCCUCGUCUAGCAGAAUAGUAAUCAAAGAAUCAACCUUAAAUAAAAUGUAUCCCUCCCAUGCCAACAAAAUGUGCACUAAUUAUGUAUUGCCAAAGAAACCAAAGAUAUAACAAUAAUACUGGUAAUAACCACUACACUAACCACCAAAAUGUUUCUCAACAUAGUGUAAAUGGUCACUUAAAGUACAAAAAAUAAUAAAGAGUACUUAAAGAAAAGUACUCUUUUUAGCAUUUGGAAAGUACACACAAUGAUCUCAAAUUCUCGUGAUGAGUAGUUUCUCAAGCUAGUUUUUAAGCCAGUUGACUGAUUGGUUCGUACGGUAAAGUUUACCAAAUGGAAAUGGGCCUCUCUCUCUCCCUCUCUCUCUCUCUUUCUUUGAUUUAUUAUUUGUUUUCCUUUUUUUUUUGUUGUCAAACUCGAAUAUUUCCUACCUGAAAUUCUCAAAUUUUAUGGAGUUAGUCUAGGCCAUGGCUGUUGCGUAGUGAAUGCGUACCAUACAUGCAAUCAGCACAUGAAUUCUUGAAAUUAUGAACCAAGUAAAAUUAGCUCAUCAACUCAAAACAUGAUCAAGAAUCAAGCCUUUGAGAUGGAUAAUGAAAGCCUAAACAAACCAACCAAAUAAAACCGUCUCAAAACUCAUUUCUGCUUGGACUAAUUUUGGUACUUGCUGCUCUCCAAACUUUAACAAUAUUGAUCAAAUUUUACUGAAACAAAUCUGUAUUUACAUGACAGUCUUGAUACAUUACAAAAUUGGUAUGACCAGACGUGAAAGAGGUAUAAAAAGGCGAUGAAUGGUCUUUAUUUCGCACUCAGGAUGUAGUAAUUACAAAAAAAAUCGUAUGUACAAAGUUGACAGAUAAUUCCCAGCUCACAUUUCAGACAAAAGAUUGCUAAUCUUCCGAAGCUCUUUCAAGGCUGACAUAGCU